UCCGAAGAAUAUAUGCUUCAUGAGAAAAGGGACCUCUGUCUGAUGUUGAUCACUAUGAGUUCGUGCCUGACUCAUACAUAGCUAGAACAUGGGCAAAGUGCUAGUGAAGCAGCUCCAGCCAUGCAAGAGAAGACUUCACCCUAGGAGACGGUGGACAAGAAAAAGAAAGGAAACCAGAUUCCAGGAUGAUCUCAUUGAACAGGGCUAACCACUGCCUUGGACCAUCCACCUACCUCUAGACUAUCACAUGAGAGAGAUGAUCUAAUUACAUGAGCCCUUCAAAAGCAGAAGAGAAAAGCAGAAGAGGAAGUCAGAUAGACUCAAAGCCUGAGAAGUAUUCAAUACACCAUUGCUGGUUUGAAGAUGGAUGGGGACAUAAGAGAAAGAAUGCAAGGAACCUCUAGGAGCAGAAAGCCACCCCCAGCUAGCAGUCAGCAAGGAAACAGGAACUUCAGUCCUACAACUCCAAGGAACUGAUUCUGCCAACAACAGGAAUGAGUUGGAAGCAGAUUCUUCUCCAGAUCCCCCAGAUACAGCCCAUCAAGACAACAUCUUGAUUUCAGCCUUUGGAGACCCUAAGCAGAAAAUUCAGCACAUUGGCUUUCUGAUCUACAAAACUCUGACACUUGCUCCUGUCCCAUCUCCUGGUCUUUCCCCACUUCUUCAAAACUGACAGACAAUAGAGGUAUGAAGAUGGAUCAUGUCCAUCACCCGGCAGAAGAGGUUGGCAAGAGGUAGGCCAAUAGCAGUAAACUGGGAAAAAACUGACGAUUCAGUGAAGUUAUGACACUGUCAUCCAGAAUGAACCAAAUGUUCCAACAUAAAGGUACUUUCUCUGGAGUUAUUUUUGCUAAAACACUGAAGGAUUGUAUAUUCUGCUUCUAUGGGGGAAGCUGCUUGCUGAAAAAAAUCGUGUAUAUGUUUUGUGAUGUGUCUCUACGUGUAUGGGGACCAUGAUGUGA